rnacentral:rRNA from 1 species
UACGAAGGGGGCGAGCGUUGUUCGGAAUUACUGGGCGUAAAGCGCACGUAGGCGGUUUAUCAAGUCGGAAGUGAAAGCCCAGGGCUUAACCUUGGAAUUGCUUUCGAAACUGAUUUACUAGAGAUUGGUAGGGGAUAGUGGAAUUCCUGGUGUAGAGGUGAAAUUCGUAGAUAUCAGGAGGAACACCGGUGGCGAAGGCGGCUAUCUGGACCAAAUCUGACGCUGAGGUGCGAAAGCGUGGGGAGCAAAC